rnacentral:rRNA from 1 species
UACGUAGGGGGCGAGCGUUGUCCGGAAUUAUUGGGCGUAAAGAGCGUGUAGGCGGUUCGGUAAGUCCGCCGUGAAAACCUGGGGCUCAACCCCCGGGCGUGCGGUGGAUACUGUCGGGCUAGAGGAUGGUAGAGGCGAGUGGAAUUCCCGGUGUAGCGGUGAAAUGCGCAGAUAUCGGGAGGAACACCGGUAGCGAAGGCGGCUCGCUGGGCCAUUCCUGACGCUGAGACACGAAAGCGUGGGGAGCAAACAGGAUUAGAUACCCCGGUAGU